AGCGUGAUGCCGUGCUGGUCAGCCAUGUCCCCUUAUCACUUUUCCAGCCCAGCUUUGUGAUUGUCAGUGUUGGACGGAGAACUGAUAAGGGUGGGUGGCUGACACUCACAGCGUGGGAGCCC
rnacentral:pre_miRNA from 13 species